CGCACGGGUGAGUAACACGUAUGCAACCUGCCUGCCACAGCCGGAUAAUCGGGAGAAAUUCCGUCUAAUACGGCAUAAUGCAUCGACGGGACAUCCUGUUGGUGCCGAAGGUUAAUUCCGGUGGCGGAUGGGCAUGCGUCGCAUUAGUUAGUUGGCGGUGUAACGGACCACCAAGACGACGAUGCGUAGGGGUUCUGAGAGGAAGGUCCCCCACACUGGUACUGAGACACGGACCAGACUCCUACGGAAGGCAGCAG
rnacentral:rRNA from 1 species